AUUGAACGCUGGCGGCAGGCCUAACACAUGCAAGUCGAACGAGUGGCGGACGGGGGAGUAAUGUCUGGGAAACUGCCUGAUGGAGGGGGAUAACUACUGGAAACGGUAGCUAAUUCCGCAUACAAUAAGAUGUGCCCAGAUGGGCUUAGCUUGUGGGUGGGGUAACGGCUCACCAAGGCGACGAUCCCUAGCUGGUCUGAGAGGAUGACCAGCCACACUGGAACUGAGACACGGGCCAGACUCCUACGGGAGGCAGCAGUGGGGAAUAUUGGACAAUGGGCGCAAGCCUGAUGCAGCCAUGCCGCGUGUGUGAAGAAGGCCUUCGGGUUGUAAAGUACUUUCAGCGGGGAGGCGUUACCCGCAGAAGAAGCACCGGCUAACUCCGUGCCAGCAGCCGCGGUAAUUC
rnacentral:rRNA from 1 species